rnacentral:rRNA from 1 species
GACGAACGCUGGCGGCGUGCUUAACACAUGCAAGUCGAACGGAAAGGCCCUGCUUUUGUGGGGUGCUCGAGUGGCGAACGGGUGAGUAACACGUGAGUAACCUUCCCUUGACUUUGGGAUAACUUCAGGAAACUGGGGCUAAUACCGGAUAGGAGCUCCUGCUGCAUGGUGGUGGUUGGAAAGUUUCGGCGGUUGGGGAUGGACUCGCGGCUUAUCAGCUUGUUGGUGGGGUAGUGGCUUACCAAGGCUUUGACGGGUAGCCGGCCUGAGAGGGUGACCGGCCACAUUGGGACUGAGAUACGGCCCAGACUCCUACGGGAGGCAGCAGUGGGGAAUAUUGCACAAUGGGCGGAAGCCUGAUGCAGCAACGCCGCGUGCGGGAUGACGGCCUUCGGGUUGUAAACCGCUUUCGCCUGUGACGAAGCGUGAGUGUCGGUAAUGGGUAAAGAAGCACCGGCUAACUACGUG